UGAUUGCCUUCUGCUGCUCUGCGUCCACAGAUUCUGGGACUACUCCAAGAACCAGCCGCUGCUGGAGACACUGGAGCACCACUCGGAGUUUGUGUGUGGCCUGGAUUUCAACCUGCACAUCCCUAACCAGGUUGUGGACUGCUCUUGGGAUGAGACUGUAAAAGUCUUCACCCCUUCAUGCCUAGCUGCCCUGUAGGAGGUUGGUGCACCAUGGAAAGAUGCUGGGGCAAAGCACAGGGGAGCCGCAGCUAUGUUUCAAUCACAGGUGCAGAGUUUGCCAAGAUUUCACUGCAGAUUUCCUAAUGAUGCUAUUAAAGGAGAACCCAUGGGAUGCAUCAGGAGCAUUGCAUCAGGGGCGCUGUACAGAUGAGGGGCAAUCUCAUGCUGUCACUGAGUGUAAAAACUGUGUGUGAUGUUGUUAUAGGGUUUCUUAAAUCUGUAAUGAAACUAAAAGUUUACCUUAAAGGGAUAGCAAAAAAAAGGACAAUUCUGUCAUUAAUUAAUCACCCUCAUUUCAUUCCAUCGUUCAUCUUCAGAACUGAAAUUAAGGACAGUGGUAAAACAGUCCACGUGGAAUCAGUGGUUCAACUGUAAUUUUUAUGAAGCUCCAAGAAUACUUAAAAUACAAUUUAAAAAAAUGACUUUAUUCAACAGUCCCUCUCCUCCAAAAUCACGUCUUCCGCCAUUUUCGAGAGUACCUCUGCAUAAACAGAAACAAUGCAUACACGUGAUGCUGAUGAUGUACAACGCACAUGAGCUGAGCCUUGUUUAUGUGCAGGGGAAAGCAAUGCACAUUCGUUGUGGUACUCUCAAUAAUGGUGGAAUACAUGAUUUGGAGGACAAGAAUUAUUAAAUAAAGUUGUUAAUUUGCGCACAAAAAGUAUUAUCAUAGCUGGGGUAUUAUCAUGUGGUCUGGGGACAUUUCAGUUAUACAUGAAUGUCAAUGCAGGGUCAUAAAGCUCUUGGAUUUCAGCCAAAAAUAUUUAAAUUUGUGUUCCGAAGAUGAAUGAAGGGCUUAUGGGUUUUUCACGACAUAGUUUUUGGGUGAACUAUUCGUUUACGCAGCGAGUGCCUUGUUUCUGAAGUGCAUUGGAAGAUUAUGUAGUAUGUACAUGUUGUUCCUUACUGGUUUGUUAAACUGAUAUUAAUAAAUCGAUGCAAUCUGUCAUUCUCAAC